rnacentral:rRNA from 1 species
GAACCGCCCAAACGGUUAUUCGGGAAUCACUGGGGCUUAAAGGGUGCGUAGGCGGCACGGAAAGUUGGGGGGUGUGAAAUCCCUCGGGCUCAACCGAGGGAACUGCGCCCAAAACUAUCGUGCUAGAGGGAGAUAGAGGUAAGCGGAACUGAUGGUGGAGCGGUGAAAUGCGUUGAUAUUAUCAGGAACACCGGUGGCGAAGGCGGCUUACUGGAUCUCUUCUGACGCUGAGGCACGAAAGCUAGGGGAGCGAACGGGAUUAGAUACCCCGGUAGUCCUAGCUGUAAACGAUGAGCACUUGAUCGAAGACUCCUCCAUAGGUUUUCGGUCGUAGCGAAAGUGUUAAGUGCUCCGCCUGGGGAGUAUGGUCGCAAAGGCUGA